UACGAAGGGGGCUAGCGUUGUUCGGAAUUACUGGGCGUAAAGCGCACGUAGGCGGCUUGGUAAGUUGGGGGUGAAAUCCCGGGGCUCAACCUCGGAAUUGCCUUCAAGACUGCUUGGCUUGAGUAUGGUAGAGGGUAGUGGAAUUUCCGGUGUAGCGGUGAAAUGCGUAGAUAUCGGAAAGAACAUCAGUGGCGAAGGCGGCUACCUGGACCAAUACUGACACUUAAGUGCGAAAGCGUGGGGAGCAAACAGG
rnacentral:rRNA from 1 species